UACGUAGGGUGCAAGCGUUGUCCGGAAUUAUUGGGCGUAAAGAGCUCGUAGGCGGUUCGUCGCGUCGGCUGUGAAAACCUGAGGCUCAACCUCAGGCCUGCAGUCGAUACUGGACGGCUAGAGUCUGGUAGGGGGAUCUGGAAUUCCUGGUGUAGCGGUGGAAUGCGCAGAUAUCAGGAGGAACACCGGUGGCGAAGGCGGGAUCCUGGGCCAGUACUGACGCUGAGGAGCGAAAGCGUGGGGAGCAAACAGG
rnacentral:rRNA from 1 species